rnacentral:rRNA from 1 species
GAAUAUUGGACAAUGGGGGAAACCCUGAUCCAGCAACGCCGCGUGGGGGAUGAAGGUCUUCGGAUUGUAAACCCCUGUUGAGAGGGACGAAGGCUUGCGGGCGAACAGUCCGUAAGCUUGACGGUACCUCGAGAGGAAACCCCGGCUAACUCUGUGCCAGCAGCCGCGGUAAUACAGAGGGGGCGAGCGUUAUUCGGAAUUAUUGGGCGUAAAGGGCGCGUAGGCGGCUGCGCAAGUCUCGGGUGAAAUCCCUCGGCUCAACCGAGGAACUGCCCUGGAAACUGCGCGGCUCGAGGCCGGGAGAGGAUGGUGGAAUUCCCAGUGUAGCGGUGAAAUGCGUAGAUAUUGGGAGGAACACCGGUGGCGAAGGCGGCCAUCUGGACCGGUCCUGACGCUGAGGCGCGAAAGCGUGGGGAGCAAACAGG